rnacentral:rRNA from 1 species
UACGUAGGUGACCAGCGUUGUCCGGAUUUACUGGGCGUAAAGAGCGCGCAGGCGGUCGUUCAAGUCGAGUGUGAAAGCCCCCGGCUCAACUGGGGAGGGUCACUUGAUACUGAUCGACUCGAAGGCAGGAGAGGGAAGCGGAAUUCCCGGUGUAGUGGUGAAAUGCGUAGAUAUCGGGAGGAACACCAGUGGCGAAGGCGGCUUCCUGGCCUGUUCUUGACGCUGAGGCGCGGAAAGCUAGGGGAGCAAACGGG